AGUCGUUGUCUGCAGGUGCAGCACCAUCAAGAUUCACACACAAAUUAUAAGUGUUUUGGUGUUGAGAAUCUUGAUGAUGCUGCAUCAGCAAUAAACGAUU
rnacentral:pre_miRNA from 1 species